GACGAACGCUGGCGGCGUGCUUAACACAUGCAAGUCGAGCGGUAAGGCUCCUUCGGGAGUACACGAGCGGCGAACGGGUGAGUAACACGUGAGCAAUCUACCCUUCACAUCGGGAUAACUCCGGGAAACCGGAGCUAAUACCGGAUACGACCACUUCAGGCAUCUGACGGUGGUGGAAAGCCCUGGCGGUGGAGGAUGAGCUCGCGGCCUAUCAGCUUGUUGGUGGGGUAACGGCCCACCAAGGCAACGACGGGUAGCCGGCCUGAGAGGGUGACCGGCCACACUGGGACUGAGACACGGCCCAGACUCCUACGGGAGGCGGCAGUGGGGAAUUUUGGACAAUGGGGCGAACCCUGAUCCAGCGACGCCGCGUGAAGGAUGAAGGUCUUCGGAUUGUAAACUUCUUUUGGAGGGGAUGAAUGUCUGCGUGAAUAACGCAGCGUGACAGUACUCUUCGAAUAAGCC
rnacentral:rRNA from 1 species